GCCCCCGGCGCCGCGGCCGCGGGGGGCGGGCGUCAAGCGGGUGCCCGGGGCCGCGGGGGUGGAGAGGAGCACGCGAGGCGCGGGGGCGUCCGGAGAGCGGGCGGGGGCAGGUCCCAGCGUCUCGGGGGGCCCGGGACUGGGCUCUGGGGGCCCAAGCUUUCCUGGACGCCCCAGGCCAUCAGCGGCGGGGGCGUGGCGGGGGACAGGCAGGAAGCCGGGCCUGGAGGCUGGCUUCUUUGCCGCGUGACCUUGGGGAGAGGCGCCUCCGGCCGCAGCUCCGCGGGUGUGUUUUUAUAACGUUUCCCAGCGUCGGCUCAGCUCCCUGCGAGCCGCGCCACGCCCCGUCCAGCCGGAGCCGAAGGAAUGACUGCCCCCGGGUCAGACACCGGGGCCCGCAAGGAGGAAGAGGCGGUUGGUUUCAAUACCGCGCAGCCGGCCCAGCCCAUGAGGCCUCGAGCAGCCUCAGUUUCCCUGUCCGUGGUGCUGAGGACGCCGGGGCCUGGAUGCGCGGGGCGGGCGGGGCGGCAUCCCGGUCGCUGCCCGGGACACUGGCCAAAGGGCACAGGGGGUGGAGCGGCGACAGGCAGGAGGGAUGAAGGAGAAGGAGGAAGCCGCCCUUGGAAGAUCCGCUGGGUCCUGGGAGGCUGUGGCCCGACUCUCCUCCCCCAGCCCCGCUGCCUGGGCCAAGGUGCUGUCCUCGGGGAGAUGCAAGGUGAAGACAACAGCAUCACGAGAAGGAGAGAGCCUGCAUCCCAGAAUUACCCAGUGGAGGAGAGAUGCCUGACCAGGAAUGUCUACAAGGAUUUUGUGUGAGCCAGAAGCAAAGCUUUAAGUGUUCAGCUGCUGAGACUGGGGGCUAUUUGUUAUAGCAGCUGGCCUAGCCUAACACAUCACUCCCUUCCUCUGUUGUAGUCACCCCGCAAACCCCCACAGGGGCGGGGGGAAACCAACUGGCUCCUUUUUACCUGCCCUUCUCAACUGCCCCUGAAAGUCUGGAGGAUAAGUGGUUCAACUGGUUUUCCCUUAAAUUCAUGACCAUGAGCCAAGUGGGUCCUCACACGGUCCUACUGCCUGUCCCAGUAGGUUGCUCUUUCUUGUCUGAGCUGACCAACUUUACCAUCUUAAACGUUUUUAAGUGUACUGUUCAGGAAUGUUAAGUACUUCUCAUUGUU
rnacentral:lncRNA from 1 species